UACUCCCUGCAUAGUUGACAGGCAAUUAUAAAGAGCCAACACUAAUAAUAUGGGAGCUUUGUUCUGCACGUGUAUUACAGGCCUCGUUAGAUUCCCCUUGGGAGAAGCAGUGGAAGUAAAAAGCGUUCAGGCAGGUGCCCACCGUGUCAGAGACGGUUCUCUAUAAUCCUCGUUAACUUGCAGGGAUUUU
rnacentral:other from 1 species